rnacentral:misc_RNA from 1 species
CUCCCUGUAGUCUGUGAACACUGCCUAAUGCACCGGCAUUUGGAUUGGGGAAAGCAUAAAAUAUACGCCUAAUUCUUUGAUGCACAAGUGCCAUUGCACACAUCGUACAUGGCUCCCAUACCAGGUAGAUGUCAUAACCAGUGCAAAGAUAGGGCCUCACUGAUGCGGCUUCAGAAUGAGCAUCCAAUUCCUUCCCAUCCUCAACAUUUGCAAGGUUCGUCUUCUGUCUUUUUGCUGGAGAACCUGCACAAGAAGACUGCAUAGAUUCCACUUCAAAGGACUUCUCAGUAUGAAGCAAGCCAGGGAAUAGGCGCCUAUCCCUUUCAG